rnacentral:sRNA from 1 species
GAACAGUGGUCGCUGCUAGGAAGGGUUGGGGAUGGUGGGCCUCAAGCCCCUAUGCAAAGACUAGGACUAGAACUAAGGAACUGAGGCUGCAGGUGUCUGGGUGGGUGAUGCCCUAGUUCAGGGGCCUGGCAGGCGCGGGAGCCCCUCUCUGUGGGAUAGUGGCAGAGGGCGAUGUAGGAAGAGCAGUGUGGGGGCAGGGCUGAGGACCUCCAGGGCUGCUUGCUGCUGGCCUCCCUGGCUCGAGCAUGCCUCCGCCCUGGUGAUGCCCAGUGUGUGUGCAGGCGAGGGAGACGGGAUGGCAUGGACACUGGCAAAUACUGAGCAGAGAACGGUGCCAGCCACUUCCUAUACCCCAUUGUUUGGUUUUCAAUCACCCUCUGGGAGGACAUCAUGCCCCCAUUUAACAGGUGAGGAAAGGAACCCAGGGCCUGUGCCGCGGGCCCACGCCAGAACAAGGUGUGCCAGGCCAGGAGGUGGUGCAGAGACCACCCGCACCCAGGCUCUGAGCGCGCCUAUCCCUCCAUACCAUACCUGCCUCCCUGGCCACCGCAUGUGCCAUCUCCAGGCAACUGGUCUUCCCGGUCUGGUCUGGGGUCGGGGAGACAUGACCUUUGGGUGGGGCAUGGGGCAGGGGUGGGCUUGCCUUUGUCCAUGACACGGGUGCCCACGGGCUUCCUGGCUGUGGGGUGGUGAGUAGCCUGUGUCCCUGCAUGGAGGGACAGUCCCGGGCCUGCAUGGCGAGGUGCCACCUGCCGGGGCAGGACAGCGAAGGGAUGGUCAGCUCUCUGGCGGAUGACCCUCCCCUCAGCACAUGACGGAUAUUGCUGCCUGGGUUGGCUGACUUUUCUGAGACAGGAGGGAGGGGUGUUGCUGGGGCAGGGUGGGGGCCACUGGGGAGAGAUGCUGGCCGCCCGCUGGUGGGAGGCACCUCGAGGCUGUGCACCGGCGUCCUCAGGGCUCCUUCAGAGACGGCCGGUUAUGGGGCAGAGCAGUGACCUCCCCGCCCUGGGUUCCCCAGACAGGGCUGGACCUAAAGGAAAGUCAGCUGCUGGGAUUGGCCCAGGGCAGGGCUUGGGGCCUAGGGCCCCUGGUUCUAGGAAGUGAGUCCACUUGGCCUGAGCUGUCUGACACCUUGGCUUGGCCAUGUGGACUGCUCCACGCCUUGUCCCCUGAGCUGCAGGACAGCUGGGUCCUCUUAGGACUGAGGACCUUGGGUCUCUCCCAAUGGGCCCUCGGCUCAGCUAUGGAGGUGCCUCUGGGGAGCCCGGCCCACAGCCCCAGGUCUCACAUCCUUCAUGGUGGAGGCCGGGUGGGAGGGCGCCCCUGUCAGCGUCCGGUGCCUGUCAAGAGUGUGUAGAGCUGGGAAGCCGCUGGCCUGGGCUGCGGGGCUGGAGUUCUUCCAGCACUGCCUGAGGGCCCCGGAGGGGAGGUCCCCGGAGGGGAGCACCCCGGCCACGUCCCUCUCCUUUUAAACCUGGGCAAAGUUCUCUCUGGCCCCCAAAGGGAAGCCCCAGGUACAAGAUGGAGACCGCAGCCGAGCCAGUCCCUGCUCCUCAGAAGGCAGCUUGUGCCCUGGGCAUGGGUGCUGCCCCAGGGCUCACCGGAGUCAUUGUCCCCGCCUGUGCCGGGGGCUCUAAGGAAGCCCCUUCCUCCCAUGCUAGUCUGGCCCAGCUUAUGGGGAGGCUUGUCCCUGUGUGGCCAGGGCCACCGUGUCCCAUCCCUGGGGCCAUGCCUGUCACAUGCCUAUUCCUGGGCUCACUGGAAGGAGAUCUUGGCGAGGGGCUGCUGGGAGGGGUCAGGGGCCUGCAGUUUUAACCCAAGUGCCCCGGGUGGUUCUGAAGCCCCCGAAUGUUGAAGACCCCCACUUUGAAGCUUGGCCUGUUGGGCUUUGUGGCUGGCUCCACUCUUUCUCCAUCCCUGGAGCUGACGGCUGGUGGUGUCGCCAGAGAGUGACCUGCCUGUCUGGGGUGGAGGAAAAGCCAGUGUGAAGUCUCUGCCUUUGGAACUUUCCCAGUCGGGAGCACUGAGGGUGGCUGUGGCAUGGUGUUACUCUCGCCACCGGGGGGUAGCAAGAUCAGCAGAACUCUUGGGGCAGGGAGCGGAGAGGAGGUUCGGGCAUCGGUGGGGAGGGGCCCACCAGUCUGUGGAUGGUGGCAGAAGAGAGCUGGGGCCUGGUGCUGGCCCUGCGGGGUGGCGGCCACGGGCGGACCUAUGACUGGGAGUUUGAGGAGGGCACUGGGGUCGUCCUCCUGGUGUGGGCGGGAGCCUGUGCCGGGGCGCGUGGCUUUGGGCAGUGCUCCCGUGUGUGAGGUGGAUGAGUUGGUGCCUGGGCUGUGUGCCAGCAUGUGUGCGUGUAUGUGCGCUUGCUCUGUGCAUGCGUGGUGUGUGUAUGUGUGUGUGUCCACGCGUGUGCCUGUGCCUGCAGUGUCUGCCUGGGGUGAGGGCUCCCAGCUUAACACUAACUGCUUCCUCCUCUGCUGCUGCCGCCAAGUUUGAGGCCCCGGGGCCUUUCUCGGAGCAGGCCAGUCUGCUGGACCUGGACUUUGACCCCCUCCCGCCCGUGACGAGCCCUGUGAAGGCACCCACGCCCUCUGGUCAGGUUGGUUGUGCCCACCACUGCCCAUGGGCCCACCAGCUUCCAGGUGCCCAACCCUGGGCUCAUGUUGCCUAUUGGCCACGUGACCCCAGCUAGGCCUGGGUCACUGCCCUUCCCCUGGCACCUCAGCCUUCAGCCCUUAUCACCUCCUGGUUGUAGGGCAGGAAGCAGCCCCUGAUCAGCUGGGAGAACUCUCAGUAGGGGGUUGCUGAACACUUCCUGGCAACUUUGUGCUCAUCGCUUGGGGCAGAAGCAUCCUGGCUUGGGGUCUUGAAGCUCCCUGAGAGGUGUCGGGAGCUCGGCCACCUGCAAAUCUUGGAGUCUACCUGGCUCCGAGCCACUCCUGUGCCUGCUGGGCUGGAUGGCCUGGGGCGAGCGGGGGUAGGGUCCCUGGGGACUGCUUGCCGCCCUGUCUCUAACCUCUGUGCUAACUGUCCUUCUCGCCCUCACUGCUGCGCUCAGUCAAUUCCAUGGGACCUCUGGGAGGUAAGCUGCACGUCUGCUCUUUGUCCAGCCCCUGGGGGAGCCACUCUUCCAUAUGUGUCCAGGCCCACAUGCCUUGGCCUGCUCCUAGCCUGUUCACAGGUGCAUGCACCCCACACCCCCCCCACACGCAGGACACACAGGCACGUGCUCACGCACAGGGAGCUGGUGAAGCCACCCCGCUUCCAGCCAUUCUGCUGCUUCUCCCUCUGGCAGGCCCUUGGAAAAGGGGAUCUUCGGUUUAGCUUGAGACAGGGGUCCCCUGAGAUCUGGUCCUGUUUUCACAGCCUGUGAGUGUUUGCCUCCAGACAGAAGUGGGCCGGUCACCCAGGAUGGACGAGUGUCCUCAGGGUGUGGGGCAGGAGGGCCUCAGGGUAGAAGGUUCUUGCCUUCUCUGAGCUUUUUGGCAGUGGGGAGCUGUUUGGGAGGAAGGGGAGAGGGGAGGAAUGGAUGGUUUGAGAGAGUCAGGGAAGACAGGGUGUGGCUGAGUGCCUUCUGAGAGCAGGGCCUGCAGGCAGGUGCAAGGCCAUCUCACACAGCACCGUGUCACUGUCACCUGAUAGCUCAGGACACAGAGGCUCAGGGAAGGCUCAGUACUUGCCCAAGAACUGGUCAUGGUAGAGCCAGAAUUCCAACAGGGUCUCCUGGGCUCUGUCCCUGAGACCCCCUGAUACAGGCAGAGAUGCUGGGAGGGGCAGGCGGGUGUGCAGGCGCCCUUGGGGCAUGCGCUGGCAGCCCAGGCUCCUGGGAGCUCUGGAGGCUCCACCGCAGGAUUUCCCUCUGGAGGAAGCCAGAAAGAGCCAGCCUGGUGCGAGCUGGUAGGGCCAUUUUGACAAGUGGAUUUCGGUAGGUGCUGAGCUUGGGCAGCACAGUCACACCUGCCUGUCCCUUUGACAGUGGUAGGAGAGAGGAUGUGGGAGGCGGGUGGCUGGCCGGGCUCCGCUGGUACCCACCCUGCCCCCACCAACCCCAGCCGCUGGUGACAUUUUCUCUUGUCUUGUGAUCCUGCCCAUUGCCUUUCCACCCCGGCCUCCCCGCCCCCUCCCUGUUCUCUCCUCGUGGCCUGUUACCAGCCCACAGAGAGUCCAGCUGGCAGCCUGCCUUCCGGGGAGCCCAGCGCUGCCGAGGGCACCUUUGCUGUGUCCUGGCCCAGCCAGACGGCCGAGCCGGGGCCUGCCCAACCAGCAGAGGCCUCGGAGGUGGCGGGUGGGACCCAACCUGCGGCUGGAGCCCAGGAGCCAGGGGAGACGGCGGCAAGUGAAGCAGCCUCCAGCUCUCUUCCUGCUGUCGUGGUGGAGACCUUCCCAGCAACUGUGAAUGGCACCGUGGAGGGCGGCAGUGGGGCCGGGCGCUUGGACCUGCCCCCAGGUUUCAUGUUCAAGGUACAGGCCCAGCACGACUACACGGCCACUGACACAGACGAGCUGCAGCUCAAGGCUGGUGAUGUGGUGCUGGUGAUCCCCUUCCAGAACCCUGAAGAGCAGGAUGAAGGCUGGCUCAUGGGCGUGAAGGAGAGCGACUGGAACCAGCACAAGGAGCUGGAGAAGUGCCGCGGCGUCUUCCCCGAGAACUUCACUGAGAGGGUCCCAUGACGGCGGGGCCCAGGCAGCCUCCGGGCGUGUGAAGAACACCUCCCGAAAAAUGUGUGGUUCUUUUUUUUGUUUUGUUUUCGUUUUUAAUCUUUUGAAGAGCAAAGGGAAAUCAAGAGGAGACCCCCAGGCAGAGGGGCGUUCUCCCAAAGAUUAGGUCGUUUUCCAAAGAGCCGCGUCCCGGCAAGUCCGGCGGAAAUUCACCAGUGUUUCUGAAGCUGCUGUGUCCCCUAGUUGAGUUUCUGGCGCCCCUGCCUGUGCCCGCAUGUGUGCCUGGCCGCAGGGCGGGGCUGGGGGCUGCCGAGCCACCAUGCUUGCCUGAAGCUUCGGCCGCGCCACCCGGGCAAGGGUCCUCUUUUCCUGGCAGCUGCUGUGGGUGGGGCCCAGACACCAGCCUAGCCUGGCUCUGCCCCGCAGACGGUCUGUGUGCUGUUUGAAAAUAAAUCUUAGUGUUCAAAACAAAAUGAAACCCAAAAAAAAUGAUAAAAACUCUC